AUAAGAAGAGUAUUCAUAUGGUAAAGCAUUCAAAGUGGAUGCCUGCAAUUUUGGGGACCAAGCAAGAAUGGCAGGAAAGAUUCAAGAAUAUACGGUUAGGGAGAAAAGGAGUUGAAGAUUCAGAGAAAGUUGAAAAUUCAACCACGGCUGUUGCAUUCUAUGAUGAAAACUUAUACUUUCUAAAAGUAAAGAACGAUAUGGAAUCAAAGGCUUUAGAAGCAAUUCCCUCUGUAGACAUUUUAAAUACCGUGGACACCAAUAACUUUCCUCCAACAUCUGUUAUCAAGCAAUUAGCUUUAGCCGUUGAG